CUCGUGCCUCCACAUGUACGCAGGGGCGGAGCCCAAUGGGCCAACCCUGUAGCACAAGCUACAGGGUCGAGGAAUUUUUUUAGUGCUAAUUAACAGUCGUUUGGCCCAUGGCAACAGGGUGGCCCAGCAAGUGUGCCACAGGGUCCGAUGAAACCAGCCCGCGCGGGCUCGUGGCUUCACUUCCAACAGCCCACUACCCACGUCAUGUACGUAUGCCAGUAUACGCUCGAUCCCUUCAAACGCACACCGGCACACACGAUCGAUCGUAUUUGUUAUCCAUCUCCCUUCUCCGAGCAAGCGAGGCGAGCAAAUCCAUGCGCGGCGGCGGCGGCGAUCUAUCGAUCGAAUCGAUCCGUUCCUGAUGGGUGGGCGGCCGGAAAACACGUACGCGAAGCAGCGGCAACCGGCAGGCCGGACCGCCGGAGACUGCGGAUCGACUACUGACGCUGCAGCCUGCAGCGCCGAAGCCGCCACGGCUCGAUCGCGAGUCAUGGCCACGUCGCACGCCGGAAUUUCUCUUUCCCUCUCUUAGCUAAUUAGUAAUAUGCUUUUGAAUUUUCCUUUAGAUUACAAUCAUUGCUUGAUUCGAAUUCUGCUCGAUAUCCCUUCUUUGUAUUGUUUUUUCUAUAUAUUUUUACAAGUCGCAACAAUUGUAUGUAUAAAAUUGGGGCUAGUAAGUUAAACCUUAUUGAAAUAUAUUUAUAUGUAUGCGUUUUGGCAAAACAUGGGGCAUCAGCUAUUGUUUGAAGUUGUAAUUACGUAUACUUCAUUGGCUUCACAAUUUUGAUUCCUCACUAGUUUUAAUUGUUAAAUGCAGAUAGUAUGGACCAGGUUCUUCUCAAAAGAAAGGCACCAUCACAUUCCCAAUUAGGUGUAUGGAUGGAUGGCAGCGUUUGCUUGAUAUACAACUGAAGGAUGUGUGUAGCUUUUUACUCUGCUCGACAAUUGGAUGUUCCAGGCUGACAUAAUUAAAUGAGGCUUAGUAUUCAGGACAAAGUUAUGAACGAUGGUUGACUUA